rnacentral:rRNA from 1 species
GACGAACGCUGGCGGCGUGCUUAACACAUGCAAGUCGAACGGAAAGGCCCCUUUGGGGGUACUCGAGUGGCGAACGGGUGAGUAACACGUGAGUAACCUGCCCUUGACUUCGGGAUAACUUCAGGAAACUGGGGCUAAUACCGGAUAGGAAUCCUUGCUGCAUGGUGGGGGUUGGAAAGCUUCGGCGGUUUUGGAUGGACUCGCGGCUUAUCAGCUUGUUGGUGGGGUAGUGGCUUACCAAGGCUUUGACGGGUAGCCGGCCUGAGAGGGCGACCGGCCACAUUGGGACUGAGAUACGGCCCAGACUCCUACGGGAGACAGCAGUGGGGAAUAUUGCACAAUGGGCGGAAGCCUGAUGCAGCAACGCCGCGUGCGGGAUGACGGCCUUCGGGUUGUAAACCGCUUUCAGCAGGGGCGAAGCUUUUGUGACGGUACCUGCAGAAGAAGCACCGGCUAACUACGUG